rnacentral:snoRNA from 1 species
AGUUCCAAAAAUAAAUCCUCUUUUGCAACCCAGAACUCAUUGUUCAGUAUGAGUUUCUAUACAUAUAAAAACGAAUAUA